GCUCCAGUAGCUCAAAUGGAUAGAGCUACAUUCUACGAAGAUGUUGGUUGGGAGUUCGAGUCUCUCCUGGAGCGCCA
rnacentral:tRNA from 2 species